rnacentral:rRNA from 1 species
CCUACGGGAGGCAGCAGUGGGGAAUAUUGCGCAAUGGGCGAAAGCCUGACGCAGCGACGCCGCGUGAGGGAUGAAGGUCUUCGGAUCGUAAACCUCUGUCCGCAGGGAAGAACGGUCCCUGUUCUAAUCAGCAGUGCAUUGACGGUACCUGCAAAGGAAGCACCGGCUAACUCCGUGCCAGCAGCCGCGGUAAUACGGAGGGUGCGAGCGUUAAUCGGAAUUACUGGGCUUACAUCGCUCGUAGGCGGUAUGUCAAGUAAAGGGUGAAAUCCCCGCGCUCAACGUGGGAACUGCCUUUGAAACUGGCAAACUGGAGUGUGGGAGAGGAGAGUGGAAUUCCAGGUGUAGGAGUGUAAUCCGUAGAUAUCUGGAGGAACAUCAGUGGCGAAGGCGACUAGCUGGAACAUAACUGACGCUGAGGAGCGAAAGCGUGGGUAGCAAACAGGAUUAGAUACCCCAGUAGUC